rnacentral:ncRNA from 1 species
AAUGGUAGAGGCGCGGGCUUUAAGAGUAUGCCGGGGAAAGUGGGCACGACCGGCAGAAAGGAAAGAUCGCCGAAGGAUCGAAGGUCCGCCCAGGGCUCCGGUUCUGGCCCGUCGCAGAAGAUGCGUCGGUCUGUCACGAAUGUGGAGCGCUAUCGU